rnacentral:rRNA from 1 species
UACGUAGGGUGCGAGCGUUGUCCGGAAUUAUUGGGCGUAAAGGGCUCGUAGGCGGUUUGUCGCGUCGGGAGUGAAAUCCAGGGCUUAACUCUGACUGGCUUCCGAUACGGGCAGACUAGAGGUAUGCAGGGGAGAACGGAAUUCCUGGUGUAGCGGUGAAAUGCGCAGAUAUCAGGAGGAACACCGGUGGCGAAGGCAGGUCUCUGGGCAUUAACUGACGCUGAGGAGCGAAAGCAUGGGAGCGAACGGG